AGCUUGGUGGUGUAGUUGGAAACACGCUCUCUUCAUAUUUGUGCUUUUCAAGUUGAUCAGGGAAAGUCCCUUGUUCAAAUCAAGGUCAGGCUA